CUACGUGCCAGCAGCCGCGGUAAUACGGAAGGUCCGGGCGUUAUCCGGAAUUAUUGGGUUUAAAGGGAGCGCAGGCGGGAGUAUAAGUCAGCUGUUAAAUAUCAGGGCCCAACUCUGUUAUGCAGUUGAAACUAUAUUUCUUGAGUACGCACAAGGAUGGCGGAAUUCAGGGUGUAGCGGUGAAAUGCUUAGAUAUCCUGAAGAACUCCGAUCGCGAAGGCAGCCAUCCGGAGCGUAACUGACGCUGAGGCUCGAAGGUGCGGGUAUCGAACAGGAUUAGAUACCCUGGUAGUCCGCACGGUAAACGAUGAAUACUCGCAGUUCGGCCGUUUAGGUCGAGUUGUCCAGCGAAAGCGUUAAGUAUUCCACCUGGGGAGUACGCCGGCAACGGUGAAACUCAAAGGAAUUGACGGGGGCCCGCACAAGCGGAGGAACAUGUGGUUUAAUUCGAUGAUACGCGAGGAACCUUACCCGGGCUUGAAC
rnacentral:rRNA from 1 species